CUACGGGUGGCUCCAGUGGGGAAUAUUGCACAAUGGGCGAAAGCCUGAUGCAGCAACGCCGCGUGAGUGAUGAAGGCCUUCGGGUCGUAAAACUCUGUCCUCAAGGAAGAAUAAUGACGGUACUUGAGGAGGAAGCCCCGGCUAACUACGUGCCAGCAGCCGCGGUAAUACGUAGGGGGCAAGCGUUAUCCGGAAUCACUGGGCGUAAGGGGUGCGUAGGCGGUUUUACAAGUCAGGUGUGAAAGGCUAUGGCUCAACCAUAGUAAGCACUUGAAACUGUAUAACUUGAGUGCAGGAGAGGAAAGUGGAAUUCCUAGUGUAGCGGUGAAAUGCGUAGAUAUUAGGAGGAACACCAGUGGCGAAGGCGACUUUCUGGACUGUAACUGACGCUGAGGCACGAAAGCGUGGGGAGCGAACAGGAUUAGAUACCCGGGUAGUC
rnacentral:rRNA from 1 species